rnacentral:rRNA from 1 species
CAGUCGCCGCGGGAAUACGAAGGGGGCUAGCGUUGUUCGGAAUUACUGGGCGUAAAGCGCACGUAGGCGGACAUUUAAGUCAGGGGUGAAAUCCCGGGGCUCAACCCCGGAACUGCCUUUGAUACUGGGUGUCUAGAGUAUGGAAGAGGUGAGUGGAAUUCCGAGUGUAGAGGUGAAAUUCGUAGAUAUUCGGAGGAACACCAGUGGCGAAGGCGGCUCACUGGUCCAUUACUGACGCUGAGGUGCGAAAGCGUGGGGAGCAAACAGGAUUAGAUACCCCGGUAGUCCCUGUCUCUUAUAC